AACGAACGCUGGCGGCAGGCCUAACACAUGCAAGUCGAGCGAAUCCUUCGGGGUGAGCGGCGGACGGGUGAGUAACGCGUGGGAACGUGCACUCUUCUACGGAAUAGCUUCGGGAAACGGAGAGUAAUGCCGUAUACGACCGCAAGGGGAAAGAUUUAUCGGAGGAGGAUCGGCCCGCGUUGGAUUAGGUAGUUGGUGGGGUAACGGCCUACCAAGCCGACGAUCCAUAGCUGGUUUGAGAGGAUGAUCAGCCACACUGGGACUGAGACACGGCCCAGACUCCUACGGGAGGCAGCAGUGGGGAAUCUUGGACAAUGGGGGCAACCCUGAUCCAGCCAUGCCGCGUGAUCGAUGAAGGCCUUAGGGUUGUAAAGAUCUUUCAGCUGGGAAGAUAAUGACGGUACCAGCAGAAGAAGCCCCGGCUAACUCCGUG
rnacentral:rRNA from 1 species